rnacentral:lncRNA from 1 species
CGCCAAGGAAGUGCCCUGAAAUUGUGGCCUUGGGCUUGCUUUGGGCUCAGCUCCACUCCAGAGACUCCAUUUGAAGUAGUUAUUGCAAAAAAGAAGAAGGAGACGAAGAAGGGGAAGGAGAAGAAAAAGAAAAGCCUGCUUCAGUGCAUUUGA